AUUGAACGCUGGCGGCAGGCUUAACACAUGCAAGUCGAGCGGGGGAAGGUAGCUUGCUACCGGACCUAGCGGCGGACGGGUGAGUAAUGCUUAGGAAUCUGCCUAUUAGUGGGGGACAACAUCUCGAAAGGGAUGCUAAUACCGCAUACGUCCUACGGGAGCAAGCAGGGGAUCUUCGGACCUUGCGCUAAUAGACGAGCCUAAGUCGGAUUAGCUAGUUGGUGGGGUAAAGGCCUACCAAGGCGACGAUCUGUAGCGGGUCUGAGAGGAUGAUCCGCCACACUGGGACUGAGACACGGCCCAGACUCCUACGGGAGGCAGCAGUGGGGAAUAUUGGACAAUGGGGGGAACCCUGAUCCAGCCAGGCCGCGUGUGUGAAGAAGGCCUUAUGGUUGUAAAGCACUUUAAGCGAGGAGGAGGCUACUUUAGUUAAUACCUGGAGAUAGUGGACGUUACUCGCAGAAUAAGCACCGGCUAACUCUGUGCCAGCAGCCGCCGUAA
rnacentral:rRNA from 1 species